UAAGGAGAACUCAUGACAGGGGCUGUAUGGGGUGCAAAACAUCUUGGAUUUUUCUCAUUGCAGCAGCUUGGUCUUUCAACAGUGGCAGAGCAAAGAUGCCACCUACUCCCGCAGUUAUUCCUUUCCCCUGCAGACUGCCAUCAUCACUGUGCAGCCACAUCCCGGUCACGUGAAGGUGCCUGUCCAUCACAGUCUGCUGGUGGCACUUCCCGGAUGCUGCUGGGCAUGAUGGAAGCAGCAAAGCCAUCAGGGAGAGCAAUUGGCUCACACCACCAGGAAUACAGUCCCUGCACAGGAUGCAUGCCACUCUCCAGCUACAUUUCAUCUGUCAGCACUAAGUGCUGCAGGAACACACAGGGACAGAUGGGCCUGGACUCUUCUUCCUAUCUGAAUAAACACAGGCACAAACAGGGAAAGCAGCUGCUGAAGGUCAUGCUCUGGGACACAGUACCCAUUUGCCACCUGAAUUUCACCUUCUCAAUAAAUCAGGUCAGCCCCACAUUUUGAAGGCAGCUUGCAGAGCCAUGGAUCUGAUUCAGACAGCCCACGAGUGGCUCCUUGUGCUGCAUGUUCAUCCUUCUCCUCAGGUAGGAAAGAAGCAUCAGCAGGAGCCUCCCAAUGGGCUGCAACCCACUCACUUUGCAGCCAGCUGGCCAACAAGCCUGUGCUG
rnacentral:lncRNA from 1 species